rnacentral:rRNA from 1 species
GAGUUUGAUCGUGGCUCAGGAUGAACGCUGGCGGCGUGCCUAACACAUGCAAGUCGAACGAACGUAGCAAUACGUUAGUGGCGCACGGGUGAGUAACACGUAGCUGACCUGCCCUUCAGUGCGGGAUAACGGUUCGAAAGGACUGCUAAUACCGCAUAAGCUCACGGGGUUUAGAAGCCUGUGAGAAAAACUCCGGUGCUGAAGGAGGGGGCUGCGGUCCAUCAGGUAGAUGGUGCGGUAACGGCGCACCAUGCCGACGACGGAUAGGGGGCCUGAGAGGGUGACCCCCACAC